GAUGAACGCUGGCGGCGUGCCUAAUACAUGCAAGUCGAGCGAACAGACGAGGAGCUUGCUCCUCUGACGUUAGCGGCGGACGGGUGAGUAACACGUGGAUAACCUACCUAUAAGACUGGGAUAACUUCGGGAAACCGGAGCUAAUACCGGAUAAUAUAUUGAACCGCAUGGUUCAAUAGUGAAAGACGGUUUUGCUGUCACUUAUAGAUGGAUCCGCGCCGCAUUAGCUAGUUGGUAAGGUAACGGCUUACCAAGGCAACGAUGCGUAGCCGACCUGAGAGGGUGAUCGGCCACACUGGAACUGAGACACGGUCCAGACUCCUACGGGAGGCAGCAGUAGGGAAUCUUCCGCAAUGGGCGAAAGCCUGACGGAGCAACGCCGCGUGAGUGAUGAAGGUCUUCGGAUCGUAAAACUCUGUUAUUAGGGAAGAACAAAUGUGUAAGUAGCUAUGCACGUCUUGACGGUACCUAAUCAGAAAGCCACGGCUAAUUACGUG
rnacentral:rRNA from 1 species